GCCAGUGUGGUGUAGUGGUUUGAGCGUUGGACUACAACUCUGGAGAACAGGGUUCAAAUCCCCAUUCAGCCA
rnacentral:tRNA from 1 species